rnacentral:rRNA from 1 species
GGGGAAUAUUGCACAAUGGGCGAAAGCCUGAUGCAGCAACGCCGCGUGAGUGAUGAAGGUUUUCGGAUCGUAAAGCUCUGUUGCCAGGGAAGAACGUCCGUUAGAGUAACUGCUAACGGAGUGACGGUACCUGAGAAGAAAGCCCCGGCUAACUACGUGCCAGCAGCCGCGGUAAUACGUAGGGGGCAAGCGUUGUCCGGAAUUAUUGGGCGUAAAGCGCGCGCAGGCGGCUGUUUAAGUCUGGUGUAUAAUCCUGGGGCUCAACUCCGGGUCGCACUGGAAACUGGACGGCUUGAGUGCAGAAGAGGAGAGUGGAAUUCCACGUGUAGCGGUGAAAUGCGUAGAGAUGUGGAGGAACACCAGUGGCGAAGGCGACUCUCUGGGCUGUAACUGACGCUGAGGCGCGAAAGCGUGGGGAGCAAAC